UACAGAGGUCUCGAGCGUUAGGCGGAAUCACUGGGCUUAAAGCGUGUGUAGGUGGAUGCCUAAGUACCUUGUGAAAUCCCACGGCUUAACCGUGGAACUGCUUGGUAUACUGGGUGUCUUGAGUCACUCAGGGGCGAGCGGAACAAAUGGUGGAGCGGUGAAAUGCGUAGAUAUCAUUUGGAACGCCAAUGGGUGAAAACAGCUCGCUGGGGGUGCACUGACA
rnacentral:rRNA from 1 species